UUCUGUUUAGCUCAGUUGGUAGAGCGCUCCACUGUAAAUGGAAAUGUCCCUGGUUCCAUACCAGUACCAGGAG
rnacentral:tRNA from 2 species